UUAAAUUGAAGAGUUUGAUCAUGGCUCAGAUUGAACGCUGGCGGCAGGCCUAACACAUGCAAGUCGAGCGGUAGCACAGAGAGCUUGCUCUCGGGUGACGAGCGGCGGACGGGUGAGUAAUGUCUGGGAAACUGCCUGAUGGAGGGGGAUAACUACUGGAAACGGUAGCUAAUACCGCAUAAUGUCGCAAGACCAAAGUGGGGGACCUUCGGGCCUCAUGCCAUCAGAUGUGCCCAGAUGGGAUUAGCUAGUAGGUGGGGUAAUGGCUCACCUAGGCGACGAUCCCUAGCUGGUCUGAGAGGAUGACCAGCCACACUGGAACUGAGACACGGUCCAGACUCCUACGGGAGGCAGCAGUGGGGAAUAUUGCACAAUGGGCGCAAGCCUGAUGCAGCCAUGCCGCGUGUGUGAAGAAGGCCUUCGGGUUGUAAAGCACUUUCAGCGGGGAGGAAGGCGGUGAGGUUAAUAACCUCAUCGAUUGACGUUACCCGCAGAAGAAGCACCGGCUAACUCCGUGCCAGCAGCCGCGGUAAUACGGAGGGUGCAAGCGUUAAUCGGAAUUACUGGGCGUAAAGCGCACGCAGGCGGUCUGUCAAGUCGGAUGUGAAAUCCCCGGGCUCAACCUGGGAACUGCAUUCGAAACUGGCAGGCUAGAGUCUUGUAGAGGGGGGUAGAAUUCCAGGUGUAGCGGUGAAAUGCGUAGAGAUCUGGAGGAAUACCGGUGGCGAAGGCGGCCCCCUGGACAAAGACUGACGCUCAGGUGCGAAAGCGUGGGGAGCAAACAGGAUUAGAUACCCUGGUAGUCCACGCCGUAAACGAUGUCGAUUUGGAGGUUGUGCCCUUGAGGCGUGGCUUCCGGAGCUAACGCGUUAAAUCGACCGCCUGGGGAGUACGGCCGCAAGGUUAAAACUCAAAUGAAUUGACGGGGGCCCGCACAAGCGGUGGAGCAUGUGGUUUAAUUCGAUGCAACGCGAAGAACCUUACCUGGUCUUGACAUCCACAGAACUUUCCAGAGAUGGAUUGGUGCCUUCGGGAACUGUGAGACAGGUGCUGCAUGGCUGUCGUCAGCUCGUGUUGUGAAAUGUUGGGUUAAGUCCCGCAACGAGCGCAACCCUUAUCCUUUGUUGCCAGCGGUCCGGCCGGGAACUCAAAGGAGACUGCCAGUGAUAAACUGGAGGAAGGUGGGGAUGACGUCAAGUCAUCAUGGCCCUUACGACCAGGGCUACACACGUGCUACAAUGGCAUAUACAAAGAGAAGCGACCUCGCGAGAGCAAGCGGACCUCAUAAAGUAUGUCGUAGUCCGGAUUGGAGUCUGCAACUCGACUCCAUGAAGUCGGAAUCGCUAGUAAUCGUAGAUCAGAAUGCUACGGUGAAUACGUUCCCGGGCCUUGUACACACCGCCCGUCACACCAUGGGAGUGGGUUGCAAAAGAAGUAGGUAGCUUAACCUUCGGGAGGGCGCUUACCACUUUGUGAUUCAUGACUGGGGUGAAGUCGUAACAAGGUAACCG
rnacentral:rRNA from 1 species